UGCCGAAACGCGGAUUCGAACCCGGAACUUUUAGAUUUUCAGUUUAAAGUUUUCGCAACUGAGCUAUUCCGCC